AUGCUGCUCUCCAAACUGCUGAGGGCACUCCUAGCCUCCAUCUGUCUUGGAUCCAGCAUGGCCCAGAAGGUAACUCAAGCCCAACCUGCAAUUUCUGUGUCGGAGAAGGAGUCAGUAACCUUGAAAUGUGCAUAUGAAGUUGCGACAUCAGAUUUCUAUUUAUUCUGGUACAAACAAACACCAACUGGGAAAAUGAUUUUUCUUAUUCGUCAGGAGUAUUAUAAUGAGCAGAAUGCAACAGAGGGUCGGUAUUCUCUGAACUUCCAGAAAGCAACCAAAUCCAUCAGCCUCACCAUCACAGUCUUACAGCUUGAGGACUCAGCAGUGUAUUUCUGUGCUCUGAGGCAUCAAUUCUUC